GAGUUUGAUCGUGGCUCAGAACGAACGCUGGCGGCAGGCUUAACACAUGCAAGUCGAACGGACGUAGCAAUACGUUAGUGGCGCACGGGUGAGUAACGCGUGGAUAUCUGCCUUUUGGUUCGGGAUAACCUUGGGAAACUAGGGCUAAUACCGAAUGGUUCCUACGGGAUAAAGAUUUAUCGCCAAAAGAUGAGUCCGCGUCCGAUUAGCUAGUUGGUGGGGUAACGGCCCACCAAGGCGACGAUCGGUAGCUGGUCUGAGAGGACGAUCAGCCACACUGGGACUGAGACACGGCCCAGACUCCUACGGGAGGCAGCAGUGGGGAAUAUUGGACAAUGGGGGCAACCCUGAUCCAGCCAUGCCGCGUGAGUGAUGAAGGCCUUC
rnacentral:rRNA from 1 species